GAUGAACGCUGGCGGCGUGCUUAACACAUGCAAGUCGAACGAGAAUCAACGGAUUGAGGAUUCGUCCAAAUGAAGUUGAGGAAAGUGGCGGACGGGUGAGUAACGCGUGAGGAACCUGCCUCGGAGUGGGGAAUAACAGUUGGAAACGACUGCUAAUACCGCAUAAGACCACAGAGCCGCAUGGCUCAGGGGUCAAAGGAGAAAUCCGCUGAAGGAUGGCCUCGCGUCCGAUUAGCUAGAUGGCGGGGUAACGGCCCACCAUGGCGACGAUCGGUAGCCGGACUGAGAGGUUGAUCGGCCACAUUGGGACUGAGACACGGCCCAG
rnacentral:rRNA from 1 species